UACGGGGGGAGCAAGCGUUGUUCGGAUUUACUGGGCGUAAAGGGCGCGUAGGCGGCCACCGCAAGUCACUUGUGAAAUCUCCGGGCUUAACUCGGAAAGGUCAGCUGAUACUGCGGGGCUAGAGUGCGGAAGGGGCAACUGGAAUUCUCGGUGUAGCGGUGAAAUGCGUAGAUAUCGAGAGGAACACCUGCGGCGAAGGCGGGUUGCUGGGCCGACACUGACGCUGAGGCGCGAAAGCCAGGGGAGCGAACGGG
rnacentral:rRNA from 1 species